GUGAGUGUGUCUUUAAUGCCAUGGCCUAGUGACCACAGGGAGCUCACAUUGCCUCUGUCAGCCUCUCCUGCUUCCCUGCAGGACAGGAGUGUCCCUCCCAGAUGGGACAGGGGCUGUGGUGUGGGGUGGCUCAAUGCUGCUGGCCACCUGGAUCCUCACACACACUCGGGCGCACACACAGGCACACACACACACUCUCACUCUCCCUGUACACACACACACACAUGCUUACUCUCCCUGUACACACACACACACACGCUCACUCUCCCUGUACACACACAUUCUCCCUGUACACACACACUCUCCCUGUACACACACACACAUGCUCACUCUCCCUGUACACACACACUCUCCCUGUACACACACACACAUGCUCACUCUCCCUGUACACACACGCGCAUGCUCACUCUCCUUGUACACACACUCCCUGUACACACACUCCCUGUACACACACACACGCUCACUCUCCCUGUACACACACAUUCUCCCUGUACACACACACUCUCCCUGUACACACACACACAUGCUCACUCUCCCUGUACACACACACACUCUCCCUGUACACACACACACAUGCUCACUCUCCCUGUACACACACAUUCUCCCUGUACACACACACUCUCCCUGUACACACACACACAUGCUCACUCUCCCUGUACACACACGUGCAUGCUCACUCUCCUUGUGCACACACUCCCUGUACACACACACACACGCUCACUCUCCCUGUACACACACAUUCUCCCUGUACACACACACUCUCCCUGUACACACACACACAUGCUCACUCUCCCUGUAACACACACACACUCUCCCUGUACACACACACACGCUCACUCUCCCUGUACACACACACGCUCACUCUUCCUGUACACACACACACACGCUCACUCUCCCUGUACACACACACACUUGAUCUCACUGCACACACACACCAGCACACACGCUCACACACAUUGUCUUACACACCUGAGCUGGGGACCGAUGAGACUGACCGAUGAGAGUUCAGUGACAGCAAAAUCCUGCAGCCUCGUGACAGGGCUCAGGGAGGGCUGCCUGCCUGGGAGGGGACAGCAGCCAUGGCCUCACGUGGCCAAGGUUGCUAGAGAGGGGGCCUCAGGUCAUCCUCACAUGGG
rnacentral:lncRNA from 1 species